rnacentral:rRNA from 1 species
GUGGGGAAUUUUGGACAAUGGGCGCAAGCCUGAUCCAGCAAUGCCGCGUGCAGGAAGAAGGCCUUCGGGUUGUAAACUGCUUUUGUACGGAACGAAACGGUCCGGGUUAAUACCCUGGGCUAAUGACGGUACCGUAAGAAUAAGCACCGGCUAACUACGUGCCAGCAGCCGCGGUAAUACGUAGGGUGCAAGCGUUAAUCGGAAUUACUGGGCGUAAAGCGUGCGCAGGCGGUUUUGUAAGACAGGCGUGAAAUCCCCGGGCUCAACCUGGGAAUUGCGCUUGGGACUGCAAGGCUAGAGUGCGGCAGAGGGGGAUGGAAUUCCGCGUGUAGCAGUGAAAUGCGUAGAUAUGCGGAGGAACACCGAUGGCGAAGGCAAUCCCCUGGGCCUGCACUGACGCUCAUGCACGAAAGCGUGGGGAGCAAACAGGAUUAGAUACCCCAGUAGUCC